UUUGCGACUCCACGGACUGUAGCCCUUCAGGCUCCUCUGUCCAUGGAAUGUUCCAGGCUGGCUGUCCUAAUAUAUCCUAGGGAAGUCACAGGCCGCUGGGUCCCUGCUGGGCCACCAUCCCAGCCCUGACUUCAGGAGAUGAAACUUGGCAGACACUGGGAGUCCACAUGACACGUGGGAUCUUUGUUCCCCAACCAGGGAUUGAACGUGAGCCCCCUGCAUUGGAAGCCCAGAGUCAUAACCACUGGACAUCAAGGGACAUCCCCUUAACUUACAUAUAUUUUAAAAAAUGUUUUAUCUUCAUCUUAGACAGUCUAACAUCAAAUACCUGUCAAUAUGUGCAAUGAAUUAAAAUGUCAUCUGCAGUCAUCUGCACAACUUCUGAAGAAAUAUUAAGAAAAUGAGAACAUUAACUUUAUAUUUUAAAUGUUAAUAAAAAAUCAGCCAAUAAA